GGCAAUGCUUGGUCUCAUCCCUUCUAUUCAAUUUUGUUCUCCCAUUCUCUCUAAACGUUUCUAUAAGGGUAUUUGGGUUCUUGUUGGUAUGAGAGAGCUGUUGCUUCUCAUGCUUAUUCUCAAGUAUACACAGCCCAUAUUGGUGUGUAUUACUCUUCCUUUACCUCAAGAAUAGCUCACGUUGAGUUAGUCUCUUGAUGGAUUUACACAUGAACACACAAACCCGUUUUUGGUGUUCUUGUGAUUCUCGUUGGAGUGAAGCAAGAGCUGCUCACUCUCAUUCGUCCUAGGCUCAUAACCUAGGCCUCUAUUCCGCAUAUAUUCUAACACCUAGUAGUUCAACCGCUGGUGAAAAAGAAUCUCAAGAUGGAGAGACCAAAAAGAGGAGAACAACUGUUGAUGAUGAAUGUAAUAAGAGGAUAAAGGAGAACGCAGAGGAUUACACUCAGCUCCAGAAAAAGAUGGAUGAAAUGGAAAAGCCUAUAGAUGACAAGCUUAAGCAACACGAGGAAUUCAUGCAUGAUGUUAAACCCACGCAUGUUCAACAGCCUGAUUCCUGCAGUGAUCACAUGAAUAUGACCAUGAAGAAGGUCCAAGGGAAGAUAACAAAUACAGAGGACGAAUUUCUCUCCUUGUUGAGAAACGAGACGAUAUAUCACACUCUUGUGGAUGUUUCAAGGCAAGCUGCUGAAAUCCAGAAUGUUACAGAAAGAUGGAACGAUAUGCCACCUGCGUUGAAGACAAUUCGAGACGCCAUAUUUGAUAAAGGUCGGAUGUUAAUUGCGAAAGAAGCGCAACAACGACAGAGCCAAGAACUUGAAGCGAAGAUUCUUUCAAUACGUGAAAUUGAAGCCCUAGGGAUAGGGAUUGCUGAACUUCAUCAACGCAAGGGGAAUCUCACUUUAGAGGCAUCGGAUUUGGGAAAAAAAUCUGAGGAUUCUCAGCAGCAAUUAAACACACUUCAGGAACAGAAUACGAAAAGACUACACGGUCACUUAGUUUUAAUGAACCAGCUUGAGGAAAAGAAGAGUGAGUUGGAAUCGAUAAAGGAUCAGUCAGCGUCUACUACACGAAAAUUGCGUAGGAAGCAAAAGAAACUCGACUCUGUUGUUAAAGAUGUGAGGUGGAUAGAGGAUCAAAUCAUCGAAAAAGAGGAGGAGGAAAGGGAGGUUAAAGAAAGUUAUGAACGAGGAAAAACUGACCUGAUCCGAAUAAAAACAGAGCUGGAUUACUAUAAGCAGCACUCAUAACAGAUACGGAAGAAAAUCAACGACGACCUCCUUGCACUCAACGAGGCGAACAAGUUGAUCGUCGAUAUUUCUACACAAUUCUGAUUUAUGCUCGGGAUUACUUUCUUCCUGUCAUUAAUGCUCGUUUAAACCAUGAAAGCUCUGGCUAUGUUAUGCUUAACAUAGAUGAGCUCAAGAGCCAAAAAGUGUCUGUUUCCAGCAAAAUUGGGUUUGAACAUAUGGGGACUGCUAAGGAAGGGAACAUAGUGAGGAUCGGUGAUGAACACUCGUUUCGAUUGCUCAUAAGUAGAUUGGAGUUUUGGUUAUACUACAUUGCGUAUUUCUGUGGUGGCACUAUUGGCCUUGUUUAUAGCAACAAUUUGGGACAGAUUGCUCAGUCUUUGGGACCAAACUCUACAACCCUCGUCACAAUCUACUCUUCAUUCUCCUUCUUCGGUCGAUUGCUCUCUGCCGCACCAGAUUUUAUGCACAAGAGAUUUCGUUUGACAAGAACCGGCUGGUUUGCAAUUGCACUCUUACCAACUCCAAUCGCUUUCUUUUUACUAGCGAUAUCAUCCUCACAACAAAUAGCAUUACAAACCGCAACCGCCUUAAUCGGUCUGAGCUCAGGUUUCAUAUUCGCAGCUGCAGUCUCCAUAACAUCUGAUCUCUUUGGACCCAAUAGCGUAGGUGUUAACCACAACAUUCUCAUCACAAACAUACCAAUCGGCUCACUCCUAGGAGGAAAGGGAGGUGUAUGAUGACAUAUAUCGAGCAUCUUACUUGACUGUGCAUAACUCCAGCCUUUUUAUGUCACUACGUACACUAUGGAAAGACCUCCAUGAUAACUUUUCUUGUAGACUUGUAGUAUCAUAUGAUUUAUAACUUUUAUCUCAGUACUAGGUAUUACUUGUCAUUAUAAGUUGCUUCGGUUCGGUUUCGGUAA